GAUUAGUGCAAUGGAUUUAAGCUUCAUAUAUAAAGUAUUUUACUUUUAUUAGAA
rnacentral:tRNA from 1 species